UGAGGAAUAUUGGGCAAUGGGCGAAAGCCUGACCCAGCAACGCCGCGUGAGGGAAGAAGCUCUACGGAGUGUAAACCUCUGUUAGGAGGGACGAGUGCUACGUUGGCGAAUAGCCUGCGUAGAGGGACGGUACCUCCAGARAAAGCCCCGGCUAACUCCGUGCCAGCAGCCGCGGUAACACGGGGGGGGCAAGCGUUGUCCGGAAUUACUGGGCGUAAAGGGCGUGUASGCGGACAGGUCASUCGAGGGUGAAAUCCUGCAGCUUAACUGUAGAAUUGCCUUCGAUACUGCCUGUCUUGAGUUCGGGAGAGGGAAGCGGAAUUCCUGGUGUAGCGGUGAAAUGCGUAGAUAUCAGGAAGAACACCGGUAGCGAAGGCGGCUUCCUGGCCCGAUACUGACGCUGAAGCGCGAAAGCGUGGGGAGCAAACAGGAUUAGAUACCCUGGUAGUCCACGCCGUAAACGAUGGGUACUAGGUGUUGGGAUHGAUUCUGUCGGUCUCAGUGCCGCARCUAACGCAUUAAGUACCCCGCCUGGGGAGUACGGUCGCAAGGCUG
rnacentral:rRNA from 1 species